rnacentral:lncRNA from 1 species
CCUCAUGUUGGCCAUUUGGUUGGCAAAAAAGCCUAUGCGCACGAGCAAAGCCAUGUGUAUGCAGGUGUGUUUGUGAGCAAGACUACAAUGUGGAGUGGAUACUUACAAGACCUAAGUUCAGUAGCAAGGCUACGCUAUAAGGAUAAGGUGUCCAAAACUGGUCUUAAGGUGGAUCUUUAUUCUAUAAAAAAUUCUGAAUGGGAAAAAAGCUCAGAAUUACUGCCAGCCAUAUCAUGGAGUGAUGUAACAGUGUACAUGAUAUCUACUAUAAGUCAAUAUACAGGAGAAGCAUAAAGGUAUAAUAUGAUGUAAAUUAAUGAUAAAUUAAAUAAGACAUGGAAAGGAAUGCUGGAUUCAGAAGGGUUUGUUACUGCUGGAUUGGUUCAUGAUUUGUUACUGCACAGUUUUGAUGUCAGUUAUCUGAGAAAGUUUGUAAUAAAAGCAAUGGUAGAUUUUUUUAAUGCAUAUGAGUUUUUGUAUUACAAUUACAUGUUUGCAGGUUGAUCACAGUCAACAAAGCUCCUGUACACCAUUGUUGCCAUGGGUAGUCAUUGAAGAAGACGGUUCAGUUGCUCCUGCACACUGCACUUGCAUGGCAGGUGAAUCAUGCUCACAUGAGACAGCACUCUUAACAACUGUAGUGAAGGCGGCAGAUUGUUGGAAGCAAACAGGAUUAAAUUCAUGCCCUUCUAGGGCCUGCUACUGGCUACCAACUCCAACCAAAGUUACUGCAGCUAAUAUCAGAAAAAUGGCAAAAUUAAUGAUACAACAAGUAGCCCAUCAUCAAAACACCGUAGACUAAAAGGAGUUAGAGUUCCUUCAUCAGAAAAUGAAAUGGAUUCCGUUUUACAAAAAUAAGUAAAGGAAAGGAAAGGCCAGUUAUUCUUAAAAUAACAAUGCCUUAUGCUGAAGAAUUUAUUCCCAGACUUUCUGACACCCAAUUUCUAUCACCCAUUACAGAGCUAUACAACCCUAAGAUGUUGGAUUCUGAUUAUAUUGAGCUAUUGUCUGAAUGUGAUAUUGUUUUUUCAAGAGCUUUAGAUUGUGGAAACUGAAGCAGCUCUACUGGAAUUGGAGACGAGAGGUCAAUCUUCUAAAAAGUUGUGGUUUGUAUUCCGUUCAGGCCGACUGACAACUUCAUUUAUCAGAAAGGCUGCAAUAACAAACCAUGCUUCACCAUCUCAGAGCCUAAUUAAGAGGAUAUGUUAUCUAGAGUUGUUUUAAUUUUCUACAAAAUCUACUUGAUGGGGCUGUGAUCAUGAAAAGGAGGCCCUCACCAUGUUUGAAUCUAUUGCCAAUGAAAACCAUAUUGAUUUAAUAGUUAAGGCUAAUGGUUUGUUUAUUGAUCUUUGCCAUCCAUAUAUUGGCGCUUCUCCUAAUGGCAUAGUAAGCUGUUCAUGCUGUGGUAAAGGAGUUCCUGAAGUAAAGUGUCCUCAUUCUGUCAAAAAAUCGUUUCCUGAAGACAGCAAACAUUCUUUUUGCAUGGAAAAAGGAAGUGAUGGAAACUGGACUUUGAAGCGUGAGCAUUCAUAUUACUAUCAAGUCCAAACUCAGAUGCAUGCAUGUAAUCUUGAAUACUGCGAUUUCAUAGUAUGGUCAGAAUCAGAUGGAAAACUAAUAGAUCGCGUGUACAGAGAUAAUGAUUUUUUUGAUAAUAUUAUCAAUGACCUGCAACAUUUGUUUGUCAAUGGAGUACUUCCUGAAGUAGUGGGAAAGUGGUAUUUAAGGAAGCAAGCUGCAAAUUCAAGCAAUGCAUUAGUAGCUCCUGAUCCACUUCCUUAUGAAGACGAUGAAGACAAUGAAGACUACAAUAAAGUUUGUUGCUACUGCAAUCAGCCAAGUGAUGGAGAUAUCAUACUUUGUGACAAAUCGUGUCACAUCAAAUGGUUUCAUUGCAAUUGCUUAAGGAUGCGCAAAGUCCCAAAAGGCAUUUGGAAGUGUCUCAGCUGUAGGAGGUACCCAUCUCUAAAAAAUUAUAGCCAAACCCAGCAAACAAACUGAGAACCAAUCUCUUAUUAAUCAAUAAUUAAAUUAUUCUUAUUAGCUAUUUUUUAUGGAGUACAUACCAUAAAUUUAAGAAAAAUCAUUUUAGUCUUGGGAUACAAUGGAA